GGCCUGAUGGUCUAGUAGUAUGAUUCCUUGUUAGGGCUCCAACCCAUAAUCGAGGAGGUCCCGGGUUCAAUUCCCGGUCAGGCCC